rnacentral:rRNA from 1 species
AGCAGUCGCCACGGUAAUACGAAGGGUGCAAGCGUUACUCGGAAUUACUGGGCGUAAAGCGUGCGCAGGCGGUUAUAUAAGACAGAUGUGAAAUCCCCGGGCUCAACCUGGGAACUGCAUUUGUGACUGUAUAGCUAGAGUACGGCAGAGGGGGAUGGAAUUCCGCGUGUAGCAGUGAAAUGCGUAGAUAUGCGGAGGAACACCGAUGGCGAAGGCAAUCCCCUGGGCCUGUACUGACGCUCAUGCACGAAAGCGUGGGGAGCAAACAGGAUUAGAUACCCCCGUAGUCCCUGUCUCUUAUAC